UGAGGAAUAUUGGUCAAUGGGCGUGAGCCUGAACCAGCCAAGUCGCGUGAAGGAAGACAGUCCUAAGGAUUGUAAACUUCUUUUAUACGGGAAUAACGGGCGAUACGAGUAUUGCAUUGAAUGUACCGUAAGAAUAAGCAUCGGCUAACUCCGUGCCAGCAGCCGCGGUAAUACGGAGGAUGCGAGCGUUAUCCGGAUUUAUUGGGUUUAAAGGGUGCGUAGGUUGUUCGGUAAGUCAGCGGUGAAACCUGAGCGCUCAACGUUCAGCCUGCCGUUGAAACUGCCGGGCUUGAGUUCAGUGGCGGCAGGCGGAAUUCGUGGUGUAGCGGUGAAAUGCAUAGAUAUCACGAGGAACUCCGAUUGCGAAGGCAGCUUGCCAUACUGCGACUGACACUGAAGCACGAAGGCGUGGGUAUCAAACAGG
rnacentral:rRNA from 1 species